rnacentral:rRNA from 1 species
UGGGGAAUAUUGCACAAUGGGCGCAAGCCUGAUGCAGCCAUGCCGCGUGUAUGAAGAAGGCCUUCGGGUUGUAAAGUACUUUCAGCGGGGAGGAAGGGAGUAAAGUUAAUACCUUUGCUUAUUGACGUUACCCGCAGAAGAAGCACCGGCUAACUCCGUGCCAGCAGCCGCGGUAAUACGGAGGGUGCAAGCGUUAAUCGGAAUUACUGGGCGUAAAGCGCACGCAGGCGGUUUGUUAAGUCAGAUGUGAAAUCCCCGGGCUCAACCUGGGAACUGCAUCUGAUACUGGCAAGCUUGAGUAUCGUAGAGGGGGGUAGAAUUCCAGGUGUAGCGGUGAAAUGCGUAGAGAUCUGGAGGAAUACCGGUGGCGAAGGCGGCCCCCUGGACGAAGACUGACGCUCAGGUGCGAAAGCGUGGGGAGCAAACAGG